ACAAAGGAUGAGUAUUUUGAUAGCUUCUCAUUCCUUGAACUAUUCUGCAGGUUUAUAACAAAGCUCAGAAAAUACUAAAGGUUAAAGGAGAAUUGAGAGCUGCCAAGGAAAUGAAAGAUGAGGCGGGGGAGAGAGACAGAGAAGUGAGCAGCCUGAACAGCAAGCUGUUAAGCCUGCAACUUGACAUCAAGAAUCUGCACGAUGUCUGCAAGAGACAGAGGAAGACCUUGCAGGACAAUCAGCUCUGCAUGGAGGAGGCAAUGAACAGCAGCCACCUCAUUGCCCUGAAAAUAUCAGAUCAUAGUGAUACAAGGGGAGCAGCAUCUGCUAUGGAUCUCAGACAAACUUCUAAGUCAACCAUGAAAAUAAAAACCAUCACACCUGCACUAAGGACAAGAAGCAAGCACAGGCAUUAGCAUUCGAGGAGUCAGAGGUGGAAUUUGGGUCCAGUAAACAGUGUCAUCUGAGACAACUCCAGCAACUGAAGAAAAAAUUGCUGGUCCUUCAACAAGAACUGGAGUUUCGCACAGAGGAGUUGCAGACU
rnacentral:sRNA from 1 species